rnacentral:rRNA from 1 species
GACGGUCUUGCUGUCACUUAUAGAUGGAUCCGCGCUGCAUUAGCUAGUUGGUAAGGUAACGGCUUACCAAGGCAACGAUGCAUAGCCGACCUGAGAGGGUGAUCGGCCACACUGGAACUGAGACACGGUCCAGACUCCUACGGGAGGCAGCAGUAGGGAAUCUUCCGCAAUGGGCGAAAGCCUGACGGAGCAACGCCGCGUGAGUGAUGAAGGUCUUCGGAUCGUAAAACUCUGUUAUUAGGGAAGAACAUAUGUGUAAGUAACUGUGCACAUCUUGACGGUACCUAAUCAGAAAGCCACGGCUAACUACGUGCCAGCAGCCGCGGUAAUACGUAGGUGGCAAGCGUUAUCCGGAAUUAUUGGGCGUAAAGCGCGCGUAGGCGGUUUUUUAAGUCUGAUGUGAAAGCCCACGGCUCAACCGUGGAGGGUCAUUGGAAACUGGAAAACUUGAGUGCAGAAGAGGAAAGUGGAAUUCCAUGUGUAGCGGUGAAAUGCGCAGAGAUAUGGAGGAACACCAGUGGCGAAGGCGACUUUCUGGUCUGUAACUGACGCUGAUGUGCGAAAGCGUGGGGAUCAAACAGGAUUAGAUACCCUGGUAGUCCACGCCGUAAACGAUGAGUGCUAAGUGUUAGGGGGUUUCCGCCCCUUAGUGCUGCAGCUAACGCAUUAAGCACUCCGCCUGGGGAGUACGACCGCAAGGUUGAAACUCAAAGGAAUUGA